GACGAACGCUGGCGGUGUGCCUCACACAUGCAAGUCGAGCGGACGAAGAUUGAAGCUUGCUUCAGUCCUAGUUAGCGGCGGACGGGUGAGUAACACGUAGGAAUCUGCCUUCAGGCGGGGGACAACGGAACGAAAGUUGCGCUAAUACCCCAUAUGCGAGUAAUCGUAAAAGGAGCAAUCCACCGGAAGAUGAGCCUGCGCCCGAUUAGCUAGUUGGUAGGGUAAAAGCCUACCAAGGCUACGAUCGGUAGUUGGUCUGAGAGGAUGAUCAGCCACAAUGGAACUGAGACACGGUCCAUACUCCUACGGGAGGCAGCAGUGGGGAAUUUUACGCAAUGGGCGAAAGCCUGACGUAGCGACACCGCGUGAGCGAAGAAGCCUUUUGGGGUGUAAAGCUCUGUCAGCUGGAACGAACACAAUGACGGUACCAGCAGAGGAAGCAUCGGCUAACUACGUG
rnacentral:rRNA from 1 species